rnacentral:rRNA from 1 species
AAAAGGCGCAAGCCUUAGUAGAGCGGCGGACGGGUGAGUAACACGUGGGUAAUCUGCCUAGGAGCGGGGGAUAACCUGGGGAAACUCGGGCUAAUACCGCAUACGAUCAUGGGGUCUCGGCCCUGUGCUGAAAGGUGGCCUCUGCUUGCAAGCUACCACUCCUAGAGGAGCCCGCGCCUGAUUAGCUAGUUGGUGGGGUAACGGCCUACCAAGGCGACGAUCAGUAGCCGGCCUGAGAGGGCGAUCGGCCACACUGGAACUGAGACACGGUCCAGACUCCUACGGGAGGCAGCAGUGAGGAAUCUUGCGCAAUGGGGGAAACCCUGACGCAGCAACGCCGCGUGGAGGAUGAAGGUCUUCGGAUUGUAAACUCCUGUCAGAGGGGACGAAUGUUCACGGGCUAAUCACCGUGAGCUUGACGGUACCCUCAGAGGAAGCCACGGCUAACUCUGUGCCGGCAGCCGCGGUAAUACAGAGGUGGCGAGCGUUAUUCGGAAUUAUUGGGCGUAAAGGGCGCGUAGGCGGCUUGACAAGUCCCGGGUGAAAUCCCUCGGCUCAACCGAGGAACUGCCUUGGAAACUGUCUGGCUUGAGGCCGGGAGAGGGUAGUGGAAUUCCCAGUGUAGCGGUGAAAUGCGUAGAUACUGGGAGGAACACCGGUGGCGAAGGCGGCUACCUGGACCGGUUCUGACGCUGAGGCGCGAAAGCGUGGGUAGCAAACAGGAUUAGAUACCCUGGUAGUCCACGCUGUAAACGAUGGAUGCUCGGUGCUGGGGGUAUCGACCCCUCCGGUGCCUUAGCUAACGCGUUAGGCAU